CCGGGGCCCUGCCGGAGCUGCGAGGAAGGCUGAGGAUGGGUCCCGCCGCCUUCCUGGGGCUCUGCCUGCUGGGGUGCCUGGUGCUGCCGCCCUCCCUGCCGGGGGCUCAGGCCACCAGGUGUCCCCGGGGGUGGCUGUCCUUCGAGGGACACUGCUAUGGCUACUUCGGGCAGCAGCUGAGCUGGAGGAGGG